rnacentral:rRNA from 1 species
AACGAACGCUGGCGGCGCGCUUAACACAUGCAAGUCGAACGAGAAGGCGUAGCAAUACGCUUGUACAGUGGCGAACGGGUGAGUAAUACGUGGGCGACCUACCCUCGAGUGGGGAAUAACCCGCCGAAAGGCGGGCUAAUGCCGCGUACGCUUCCAUCUUUAUGGAGGUGGAAGGAAAGCCGUGCCGUGGGCACGGCGCUCAAGGAUGGGCUCACGUCCUAUCAGCUUGUUGGAGGGUAACGGCCUACCAAGGCUCCGACGGGUAGCUGGUCUGAGAGGACGAUCAGCCACACUGGCACUGCGACACGGGCCAGACUCCUACGGGAGGCAGCAGUGAGGAAUCUUGCGCAAUGGGCGAAAGCCUGACGCAGCGACGCCGCGUGAGGGAUGACGGCCUGGUU